rnacentral:rRNA from 1 species
GACGAACGCUGGCGGCGUGCUUAACACAUGCAAGUCGAACGGAAAGGCCCUGCUUUUGUGGGGUGCUCGAGUGGCGAACGGGUGAGUAGCACGUGAGUAACCUGCCCUUGACUUUGGGAUAACUUCAGGAAACUGGGGCUAAUACCGGAUAGGAGCUCCUGCUGCAUGGUGGGGGUUGGAAAGUUUCGGCGGUGGGGGAUGGACUCGCGGCUUAUCAGCUUGUUGGUGGGGUAGUGGCUUACCAAGGCUUUGACGGGUAGCCGGCCUGAGAGGGUGACCGGCCACAUUGGGACUGAGAUACGGCCCAGACUCCUACGGGAGGCAGCAGUGGGGAAUAUUGCACAAUGGGCGGAAGCCUGAUGCAGCAACGCCGCGUGCGGGAUGACGGCCUUCGGGUUGUAAACCGCUUUCGCCUGUGACGAAGCGUGAGUGACGGUAAUGGGUAAAGAAGCACCGGCUAACUACGUG